CCUACGGGUGGCAGCAGUGAGGAAUAUUGGUCAAUGGGCGCAAGCCUGAACCAGCCAAGUCGCGUGAGUGAUGACGGUCCUAUGGAUUGUAAACCUCUUUUGUCGGGGAGCAAGGCCCGCCACGUGUGGCUGGACGGACAGUACCCGAAGACAAAGCAUCGGCUAACUCCGGGCCAGCAGCCGCGGUAAUACGGAGGAUGCGAGCGGUAUCCGGAUUUAGUGGGUGUAAAGGGUGCGUAGGCGGAAGGUAAAGGCAGUGGUCAAAUUUCGGUGCUCAACACCGGCCUGCCGUUGAAACUGGUCGUCUUGAGUGAGCGAGAAGUAAGCGGAAUGCGUGGUGUAGCGGUGAAAUGCGUAGAUAUCAGGAAGAACUCCGAUGGCGAAGGCAGCAGACCGGCGCUCAACUGACGCUGAGGCACGAAAGCGUGGGGAGCGAACAGGAUUAGAUACCCGAGUAGUC
rnacentral:rRNA from 1 species